rnacentral:lncRNA from 1 species
AACUAAAGCAAUAAUUGGUUCUUCUAUAUCUCCUACUUUCACCAAUACUUUAGUAGUUACCCUUGCUCAUUGUUUUCGAGUAUAAUGGCUUGAAGCUUCCAUUUUUUUAUCACUAUAAUCUUCAAAAUGUACUCGUUGAUUAUAUCCAUUCUUUUUAUUUAUUGAUUGUUUAUAAUCAUUAUCAACCUUUCUUUUAUCUUUAUAUAAUCCUGCAUCAAUAGCAUGACUCAUUCCAGAUUUGUCCAUUAAUUUCCUCUUUCGCUUAAUGCU